rnacentral:rRNA from 1 species
UACGUAGGGUGCAAGCGUUAAUCGGAAUUACUGGGCGUAAAGCGUGCGCAGGCGGUUUUGUAAGACUGUCGUGAAAUCCCCGGGCUCAACCUGGGAAUGGCGAUGGUGACUGCAAGGCUAGAGUUUGGCAGAGGGGGUAGAAUUCCACGUGUAGCAGUGAAAUGCGUAGAUAUGUGGAGGAACACCGAUGGCGAAGGCAGCCCCCCUGGGUCAAAACUGACGCUCAUGCACGAAAGCGUGGGGAGCAAACAGG